rnacentral:rRNA from 1 species
CAGUAGCCGCGGUAAUACAGAGGGUGCGAGCGUUAAUCGGAUUUACUGGGCGUAAAGCGCGCGUAGGUGGUUUGGUAAGAUGGAUGUGAAAUCCCCGGGCUCAACCUGGGAACUGCAUCCAUAACUGCCUGACUAGAGUACGGUAGAGGGUGGUGGAAUUUCCUGUGUAUCGGUGAAAUGCGUAGAUAUAGGAAGGAACACCAGUGGCGAAGGCGACCACCUGGACUGAUACUGACACUGAGGUGCGAAAGCGUGGGGAGCAAACAGGAUUAGAUACCCCGGUAGUCCCUGUCUCUUAUAA